rnacentral:rRNA from 1 species
CCUACGGGGCGCUGCAGUGAGGAAUAUUGGUCAAUGGGCGGAAGCCUGAACCAGCCAAGUAGCGUGCGGGAUGAAGGCCCUACGGGUCGUAAACCGCUUUUGCACGGGGAUAACACCCUCCACUUGUGGAGGUCUGCAGGUACCGUGCGAAUAAGGGCCGGCUAAUUCCGUGCCAGCAGCCGCGGUAAUACGGAAGGCCCGAGCGUUAUCCGGAUUCAUUGGGCUUAAAGGGAGCGUAGGCGGGCGUUCAAGUCAGCUGUAAAAUCGCGCGGCUCAACCGCGCCCCGCAGUUGAAACUGGACGCAUUGAGUGCACAAGAGGCAGGCGGAAUUCGUGGUGUAGCGGUGAAAUGCAUAGAUAUCACGAGGAACCCCGAUUGCGAAGGCAGCCUGCCGGGGUGCGACUGACGCUGAGGCUCGAAGGUGCGGGUAUCAAACAGGAUUAGAUACCCGUGUAGUC